UGAUCCGGAGAUUUCUGAAUGGGGAAACCCUACAAAGUAAACCUUUGUAAUCAUAUAGUGAAUACAUAGCUUUAUGAGGCGAACGCAGGGAACUGAAACAUCUAAGUACCUGUAGGAACAAAAAGAAAAUUCGAUUUCCUUAGUAGCGGCGAGCGAAACGGAAAUAGCCCAAACCUAACCGGCAACGGUUAGGGGUUGUGGGACCUUCUAAAUGAGCGAGAUAAUAAGAAGAACUGCAUGGGAAAGCAGGCCAUAGCGGGUGACAGCCCCGUAUUCGAAUAUUAUCAGACCGAGGAAGGCACCCGAGUAGCAUGGAACACGUGAAAUUCUGUGUGAAUCUAGGAGGACCAUCUCCUAAGGCUAAAUACUACUUGGUGACCGAUAGUGAACUAGUACCGUAAGGGAAAGGUGAAAAGUACCCCGAUAAGGGGAUUUAAAAGUACCUGAAACCGUAUGUCUACAAGCAGUGGAAGCUCUUCGGAGCGACUGCGUACCUUUUGCAUAAUGAGUCAGCGACUUACUCUACGUAGCAAGGUUAAACUUUAUUUGUGGAGCCGCAGCGAAAGCGAGUCCAAAAAGGCGAUUAGUUGCGUGGAGUAGACCCGAAACCAAGUGAGCUAACCAUGGUCAGGUUGAAGUUCCGGUAACACGGAAUGGAGGACCGAACCCACUGAAGUUGAAAAUUCAGGGGAUGAACUGUGGUUAGGGGUGAAAGGCCAAUCAAACUUGGAGAUAGCUGGUUCUUUCCGAAAUAUAUUUAGGUAUAGCCUCAUAUGAUGCACACCGGAGGUAGAGCACUAGAACGGCUAGGGGUCCUACAAGAUUACCAAACCGUACCAAACUCCGAAUACCGGCUGUGUUAAUAUGGGAGUCAGUCUGCUGGCGAUAACGUUGGUAGGCGAAAGGGAAACAACCCAGACCGACAGCUAAGGUCCCUAAACAAUGCUAAGUGGCAAAGGAUGUGAAAUCGCUGAGACAACCAGGAGGUUGGCUUAGAAGCAGCCACCCUUUAACGAGUGCGUAAUAGCUCACUGGUCUAGCGAAUUUGCGCCGAAAAUAUAACGGGGCUAAGCAUUGUACCGAAGCUUCGGGGUUCGUAAGAACCGGUAGGAAAGCGUUCUAUACGGGGCGAAGCUAAACCGGGAGGUUUAGUGGACUGUAUAGAAGUGAUUAUGCUGACAUGAGUAACGAUUAGGAAUGUGAAAAACAUAUCCCGCCGUAAACGCAAGGUUUCCAGGGCAAGAGUAAUUCUCCCUGGGUUAGCCGGAGACUAAGCCGAGGCCGAAAGGCGUAGUGUGAUGUCAAACAGGUUAAUAUUCCUGUGCCACCAUAUAAAUUUUGAUACUAGGAGCGACGGAGAAGGAUAGAUUAGCCACUGAAUGUCUCGUGUGUUCAAGCCUGUAGGCUGGAAUUGUUGGAAUAAACGCAAUUCUAAGGCCGAGAGGUGAUGAGGAAGUGAGUGAGAUUCUCACCGAACUAAUUGAUUCCAUGCUUCCAAGAAAAGCUUCGAGUGGAGUUAUAUGGUGACCGUACCCUAAACCGACUCAGGUGGGUGGGGAGAGAAUCCCAAGGCGUUUGAGUGAACCCUGGUUAAGGAACUCUGCAAAUUGACACCGUAACUUCGGGAAAAGGUGUGCCCCUUGUAGGUGAUGGCUUUACUGUCUAGCUGAAGGGGGUUGCAACAAAGCAGUGGUAGCGACUGUUUAUCAAAAACACAGGUCUCUGCAAAAUCGUAAGAUGAAGUAUAGGGGCUGACGCCUGCCCGGUGCCGGAAGGUUAAGAGGAACAGUUAGAGUAAUCGAAGCUGUAAAUUGAAGCCCCGGUGAACGGCGGCCGUAACAAUAACGGUCCUAAGGUAGCGAAAUUCCUUGUCGGAUAAGUACCGACCUGCACGAAUGGCGUAACGACUUCCACACUGUCUCAACCAGGGACUCAGUGAAAUUGAAUUGGCGGUGAAGAUGCCGUCUACCCGCGACUAGACGGAAAGACCCCGUGAACCUUUACUAUAGCUUGGCAAUGAAAUUCGAUAAAUAUUGUGUAGGAUAGGUGGGAGACUAUGAUGGUAUGGCGCUAGCUGUAUCGGAGUCAUCCUUGAAAUACCACCCUUUAUUUGUUGGAUUUCUAACUCGAUUCCGUUAUCCGGAAUGAGGACAUUGUCUGGUGGGUAGUUUGACUGGGGCGGUCACCUCCCAAAGAGUAACGGAGGUGCGCAAAGGUUCCCUCAGGUUGUUUGGAAAUCAACCGUAGAGUGCAAAGGCAUAAGGGAGCUUGACUGCGAGACCGACGGGUCGAGCAGGUGCGAAAGCAGGUCUUAGUGAUCCGGUGGUUCCGCAUGGAAGGGCCAUCGCUCAACGGAUAAAAGGUACUCCGG
rnacentral:rRNA from 1 species